AGUAAGAACAGGAUGAGUGAUGAGAAGAGAGGUGGAGGGUCAGUGAUAAAGACAGGAUGAGGUGUUGGAGAAAGAGGUGAUGAGGGGUCAGUAGUAAGAGACAGAAUGAGAGCUGGAGAAGAGAGGUGAUGAGGGGUCAGUAGUAAGAGACAGGAUGAGUGAUGGAGAAGGAGAGGUGAUGAGGGGUCAGUAGUAAGAAACAUGAUGAGUGAUGAGAGAGAGGUAUGAGGGGUCAGUAGUAAGAGACAGGAUGUGAUGGGAGAAGAGAGUAUGAGAGGUCAGUAGUAAAACAGAAUGAGAGCUGGAGAGAGAGGUGAUGAGGGGUCAGUAGUAAGAGACAGGAUGAGUGAUGGAGAAGAGAGGUGAUGAGGGGUCAGUAGUAAGAGACAGGAUGAGUGAUGGAGAAAGAGGUGAUGAGGGGUCAGUAGUAAGAGACAGGAGAGUGAUGGAGAAGAGAGGUGAUUGCGG
ensembl:lncRNA